GAUAAACGCUGGCGGCGUGCCUAACACAUGCAAGUCGAACGGUAAGGCCCUUCGGGGUACACGAGUGGCGAACGGGUGAGUAACACGUGGGUGAUCUGCCCUGCACUUCGGGAUAAGCCUGGGAAACUGGGUCUAAUACCGGAUAGGACCAUGGACUUCACGGUUUGUGGUGGAAAGCUUUUGCGGUGUGGGAUGGGCCCGCGGCCUAUCAGCUUGUUGGUGGGGUAAUGGCCUACCAAGGCGACGACGGGUAGCCGGCCUGAGAGGGUGUCCGGCCACACUGGGACUGAGAUACGGCCCAGACUCCUACGGGAGGCAGCAGUGGGGAAUAUUGCACAAUGGGCGCAAGCCUGAUGCAGCGACGCCGCGUGAGGGAUGACGGCCUUCGGUUGUAACCUACUUUCAGCACAGACGAAGCGCAAGUGACGGUAUGUGCAGAAGAAGGACCGGCCGAACUACGUGCCAGCAGCCGCGGUAA
rnacentral:rRNA from 1 species